rnacentral:tRNA from 1 species
GGGCGGGUAGCGAAGCCUGGUUGAACGCAGCAGACUGUAGAUCUGCCGGCCUUAAGUGGCCCUCGGAGGUUCAAAUCCUUCCCCGCCCACCA